rnacentral:rRNA from 1 species
AUGAGUUCCAAUGAUCCCAAAUUUGGCGAUUGCUUAAUUGAGCUUACUAAUCUUACCAGUGCCAAAGGAGAUGUUGGAAUCAUUAGCAAUACCAUUUCUAGAGCUAUUAGAAUUCAUAAGGAUAACUAUAGAAAUGAUCAUUUAUCUAAUGAAUUGCCCUCUCUAGGAAUUGAUCAAUCACAAGAUGAUGUUGAAUAUGAAUACUCGGAUGAGGAUGAUGAUGAUAGUGACUAUGAUCUCGAUGAUGCGAUGAGACACUUUGGUCUUAUGGCAAAUCUUCGCGGCUACAUGGCUGGAGGAAAGGAAUGGGUCCUUGAUAGUGGAUGUACUGAUCAUAUGACCGGAGAUAAAGACAUGUUCCGUGAGCUUGCUGAAAAUGACGACCCUCGAAAGUAUGUCACUUUUGGUGAUAAUUCAAAGGGUAAGGUGGUUGGCCUUGGUAAGGUGGCCAUCUCACAUGAUAGCUCCAUACAAAAUGCCAUGCUCAUUGAAUAUCUUGGCUACAACUUACUUUCAGUAUCUAGACUUGCUGAUUUCGGUUUCAAUGUCCUAUUUACUGAAGUAGACUGCCAAGUGUUUCGUAGAGAUAAUCAUAAAAUGGUCUUUACUGGUAUACGUAGAGGAGAUCUUUACAUUAUUGAUUUCACUAAAAAGGCUCAACCUAAAACUUGCUUAAUUGCUAAAUCUUCUAAAGGCUGGUUGUGGCAUGGGCAUGCGAAACCUUGA